rnacentral:tRNA from 2 species
GUAGAAGUAGGAUAAUUGGUAAUCUCCACCAGACUGUAAAUCUGGCGUCUUUUGGCAUUGAUGGUUCAAAUCCAUCCUUCUACACCA